rnacentral:rRNA from 1 species
CCUACGGGAGGCAGCAGUGAGGAAUAUUGGUCAAUGGGCGCGAGCCUGAACCAGCCAAGUCGCGUGAGGGAAGACGGUCCUAUGUAUUGUAAACCUCUUUUGUCGGGGAGCAAAAGAUGCGACGCGUGCCGUUCUGAGAGUACCUGAAGAAAAAGCAUCGGCUAACUCCGUGCCAGCAGCCGCGGUAAUACGGAGGAUGCGAGCGUUAUCCGGAUUUAUUGGGUUUAAAGGGUGCGCAGGCGGAAGCUUAAGUCAGCGGUAAAAUUGAGGGGCUCAACCUCGUCGAGCCGUUGAAACUGGUUGUCUUGAGUGAGUGAGAAGUAUGCGGAAUGCGUGGUGUAGCGGUGAAAUGCAUAGAUAUCGCGCAGAACUCCGAUUGCGAAGGCAGCAUACCGGCGCUCAACUGACGCUGAUGCACGAAAGUGUGGGUAUCGAACAGGAUUAGAUACCCUUGUAGUC